GACAAUUUUGAAAUAUCAGCAAUCCCAGAUUGCUAAUCCUCCUACUCGUGCACUUGGCCCUGGUGCUGGACCAAGCUCUGGCGUGCCCCCUACUGGUGCUAAUGUUGACAGGCAACCAGGUUGCUCCACAGCUUUCCAUUUCAGGCUUUUGUACAAGUUUUAUAUUCUUGUAUCUACUCGCAUGGAGAGAUUCAUAAUGUGUAUGAUUUUUGCACUAAAUCACAGGUGGGGAAGAUGGUCGACCUGGUUGGUCUUCAACAGAUCCCUCCCGAAGGAGACACUCUGGACCAAUUACAAGUUCUG
rnacentral:misc_RNA from 1 species